rnacentral:rRNA from 1 species
GACAAGCUACAAAGGGCGUCUGGUGGAUGCCUUGGGGCAAAGUGCCGAAGAAGGACGCGAUUAGCGGCGAUACGCCCAGGGGAGCGGCAACAACGCUACGAUCCUGGGGUUUCCGAAUGGGGUAACCUGGCCGCCGUAACGGGCGGUCACCGUAUGGUGAACACAUAGUCAUACGGAGGGCACCCGGGGAACUGAAACAUCUUAGUACCCGGAGGAAAAGAAAGCAUAUGCGAUUCCCCUAGUAGUGGCGAGCGAACGGGGAACAGCCUAAACCGCUGCGGCAUGCCGUGGCGGGGUUGCGGGGCCAGCGUUAUGGCACAGCGUGAGGGGCUUCGAAGCGGCCUGGAAAGGCCCACCACAGCGGGUGAUAGUCCCGUAGGAGUUCUGAUCGUUGGUCUAGCUGGUACCCAAGUACCGCGGGGCACGGGAAACCUUGCGGGAAUCUGGGAGGACCACCUCCUAAGGCUAAAUACACUUUGCCACCGAUAGUGAAGCAGUACCGUGAGGGAAAGGUGAAAAGCCCCCCGGGAGGGGAGUGAAAUAGAACCUGAAACCAGAGCGCCUACAAACAGUCAGAGUCCCGGCUUGCCGGGAUGAUGGCGUGCCUUUUGCAGAAUGAACCGGCGAGUUGUUGUUGGUCGUAGGUUAAGCCCUUCAGGGGUGUAGCCAGAGCGAAAGCGAGUGCGAAUAGCGCGUUACAUGGCCAGCAUCAGACCCGAAACCGCGUGAUCUACCCAUGGUCAGGGGGAAGCGUGGGUAACUCCCAUGUGGACGCCCGAACCAGUGUCGGUUGAAAACGGCUUGGAUGAACUGUGGGUAGGGGUGAAAUGCCAAUCGAACGCGGAGAUAGCUGGUUCUCCCCGAAAUGCAUUGAGGUGCAGCGUCGUCUGUUUAGUUCUGCCGGUAGAGCCACUGGAUGGCCUAGGGGCCUUACCCGGUUACCAAAGUCAACCAAACUCCGAAUGGCAGAACUUUAUAGGGCGGCAGUGAGACGGCCGGGGAUAAGCUUGGUCGUCGAGAGGGAAACAGCCCAGACCGCCUGCUAAGGUCCCAAAGUACAGGCUAAGUGUAAAAGGAUGUGGGGGUGCAUAGACAACCAGGAUGUUGGCUUAGAAGCAGCCAUCAUUGAAAAAAAGCGUAACAGCUUACUGGUCGAGUGUCCCUGCGCCGAUAAUGUAAGGGGGCUCAUGCCUGUCACCGAAGCAGCGGAUCUGCUAAGACCUUCGGGUCUUGGCCGAUGGUAGGGGAGUGUUCGCGAUGCAGAGAAGCCGCGAGCGUAAGCUCGGGUGGAGCGUCGUGAAGUAAGAAUGCCGGUAUGAGUAGCGAGAAGACGGGUGAGAAUCCCGUCCGCCGAAAGCCUAAGGGUUCUUAAGGAAGGUUCGUCCUCUUGAGUUUAGCCGGUCCUAAGGCGAGGCCAAUUGGCGUAGUCGAUGGCUGUCCGGUCGAUAUUCCGGAGCCAGUUGUAGUCGUUGAGCACGUGGGGACGCGGUAGAAGUUUCGGUCACGGAGCUGGUUCCGUGUUCCGGGGAUGGCCCGUGGAAGUAGGCAAAUCCGCUUCCGUAAACGGGUGGCCUCGGACGAGUGAAACCUUCGGGGGAAGCGAAGCCGGGAUGGAUAUCGCCACGAAAAGCCGCGUGGGAGGCUGCAUCUGACCGUACCGCAAACCGACACAGGUAGGCAGGUAGAGGAUACUAAGGCGUUCGAGAUAACUCUCGUUAAGGAACUAGGCAAGUUGACCCCGUAACUUCGGGAUAAGGGGUGCCCUCGGAGGUGUACGGAGUAAGCGCCGUAUGCGUCUGGGGGUCGCAGUGAAGCGGCUUGAGCGACUGUUUACCAAAAACACAGGUCUCUGCGAAGCCGAAAGGCGACGUAUAGGGGCUGACACCUGCCCAAUGCCAGAAGGUUAACAGGAGAGGUCAUCCCUUCGGGGGGCAGCCUUGAAUCGAAGCCCUGGUGAAUGGCGGCCGUAACUAUAACGGUCCUAAGGUAGCGAAAUUCCUUGUCGGGUAAGUUCCGACCCGCACGAAUGGUGUAACGACUUGAGCGCUGUCUCAACGAGAGACUCGGUGAAGUUGUAGUAUGCGUGAAGAUGCGCAUUACCCGCCGCAGGACGGAAAGACCCCGUGGAGCUUUACUACAACCUGUCAUUGUGUUUUGGAUACGCUUGCAGAGCGUAGGUGGGAGACUUCGGUCGCCAAUGGAACACCACCCUGGCGUAUCUGGAAUACUAACCGUGACCCUUAUCGGGUUAUCGGGACCGUGGCAGGCGGGUAGUUUGACUGGGGCGGUCGCCUCCCAAAAGGUAACGGAGGCGCCCCAAGGUACCCUCAGGCUGGUUGGAAAUCAGCUGGUGCGUGCAAGGGCAUAAGGGUGCUUGACUGUGCGACCGACAGGUCCAGCAGGGACGAAAGUCGGGCCUAGUGAUCCUCUGGCUACAUGUGGAUGUGCCAGGGCUCAUCGGAUAAAAGCUACCCCGGGGAUAACAGGCUUAUCUUGCCCAAGCGCUCACAGCGACGGCAAGGUUUGGCACCUCGAUGUCGGCUCGUCGCAUCCUGGGGCUGGAUUAGGUCCCAAGGGUUAGGCUGUCCGCCUAUUAAAGCGGUACGCGAGCUGGGUUCAGAACGUCGUGAGACAGUUCGGUCCCUAUCCGCGGUGGGCGUAGGAGUCUUGAGGAGGGCUGUCCCCAGUACGAGAGGACCGGGAUGGAUCGACCCCUGGUGUACCGGUUGUGCCGCCAGGCGCAGAUGCCGGGUAGCUAUGUCGACUAGCGAUAAGCGCUGAAAGCAUCUAAGUGCGAAGCGCGCUCCAAGAUGAGGACUCCCACAGGGUUAACCUGGUAAGGUUGCAGGAAGAUAACCUGCUCAAUGGGCGGCAAGUGUAAAGACAGCAAUGUCAAAGCUAAGCCGUUCCAAUCAACCGAGGGCUUGUC